rnacentral:lncRNA from 7 species
ACGCUUUUUCCCGAAAUCCACUUUCAAACAAACCGCACCCAACCCCUUUCACCUCAAAAUCAGGCUUUUUCUUCUGGAAAAUAACACUUUUCUAACGAAGACCAUGCACUGUCACUCCCGAAAAUACAACUUUUUGCCCCGAAAAUCACGCAUUUUCCCUUCGAAAAUACCCCACGUCGCCAGAAAAUAAUGCAUUUCCUUACCGAAAAUGCCCCUUUUCACCCGAAAAUCACGCAUUUGCCCCCCGAAAAAACGCACCUCUGUCCAAACAUCACGCAUUUUCUACCCGAAAAUACCACUUUUUGCUGGAAAAGAAACACGUCUCCCCAAAUAUACCACCUUGCACCCCAAAAUCACGCAUUUUCUCUCGAGAAAUGCCACUUUUCUUUCGAAAAUCACGCAUUUUCGCCCCGAAAAUACCACCUGUCUCCCAGAAAUUCUGCACUUCCUUCCCGAAAACACCACUUGUCGCUGGGAAAUAGCGCAUUUCUACCCAAAAAAUACCACGUUUCCCCUAAAAUCAUGCAUUUUCUUCCCGAAAAUACCACCUUUGACUCGAAAAUCACGCAGUUUCCUUCGGAAAAUACGACUUUUCUAACGAAAACCAUGCAUUGUCUCUCCGAAAAUACAAGUUUCCGCCCGAAAAUCACGCAUUUCCCCCCGAAAAAAGCACCUCUGUCCAAACAUCACGCAUUUUCUACUCGAAAUACAUCUUUGCUGGAAAAGAAUACAUUUCUCCCCAAGUAUACCACCUUGCACCCCAAAUCACGCAUUUCUCUCGAGAAAUGCCACUUUUCUUUCGAAAAUCACGCAUUUUCGCCCCGAAAAUACCACCCGUCUCCCAGAAAUUCUGCACUUCCUUCCCGAAAAUACCACUUUUCGCUGCGAAAUAACACAUUUCUACCCCAAAUAUACCACGCUUCACUCACAAAGCACGCAUUUUCACCCCAAAGUGCCACCUUUCAGCCGAAAAUUACGCUUUUUCCUCCAGAAAAUACCACUUCUCAAACAGAAGUCACGCGUUUUCUCCAAGAAAAUACCACCAUUCACCCCCAAAUCACGCGUUUUCUCUCCAAAAACACCACUUUUCUCACAAAAUCACGCAUUUUCUUCCCGAAAAUACCACCUUUCACACGAAAAUCACGCAUUUUUGCGCGAAACAACCCCAUUUCACCUCAAAAUCAGGCUUUUUCUUCUGGAAAAUAACACUUUUCUAACGAAGACCAUGCACUGUCACUCCGAAAAUACAACUUUUUGCCCCGAAAAUCACGCAUUUUCCCUUCGAAAUACCCCACGUCGCCAGAAAAUAAUGCAUUUCCUUACGAAAAUGCCCCUUUUCACCCGAAAAUCACGCAUUUGCCCCCGAAAAAACGCACCUCUGUCCAAACAUCACGCAUUUUCUACCCGAAAAUGCCACUUUUUGCUGGAAAAGAACACGUCUACCCCAAAUAUACCACCUUUCACCCCAAAAUCACGCAUUUUCUCGCGAGAAAUACCACUUUCUUUCGAAAAUCACGCGUUUCACCCCGAAAAUACCACCUGCCACGCGAAAAAUCCUGCACUUCCUUCCCGAAAACACCACUUGUCCUGGGAAAUAGCGCAUUUCUACCCAAAAAAGACCACGUUUCCCCCGAAAAUCAUGCAUUUUCUUCCGAAAUACCCCUUUGACUCGAAAAUCACGCAUUCCUU